GAACGAGAGAAUUGCUAGCUUGCUAAUAAUUCUCUAGUGGCGCACGGCCGAUUAACACGUGAGUAACCUGCCCCCGAGAGCGGGAUAGCCCUGGGAAACUGGGAUUAAUACCGCAUAGUAUCGAAAGAUUAAAGCAGCAAUGCGCUUGGGGAUGGGCUCGCGGCCUAUUAGUUAGUUGGUGAGGUAACGGCUCACCAAGGCGAUGACGGGUAGCCGGUCUGAGAGGAUGUCCGGCCACACUGGAACUGAGACACGGUCCAGACACCUACGGGUGGCAGCAGUCGAGAAUCAUUCACAAUGGGGGAAACCCUGAUGGUGCGACGCCGCGUGGGGGAAUGAAGGUCUUCGGAUUGUAAACCCCUGUCAUGUGGGAGCAAAUUAAAAAGAUAGUACCACAAGAGGAAGAGACGGCUAACUCUGUGCCAGCAGCCGCGGUAAUACAGAGGUCUCAAGCGUUGUUCGGAAUCACUGGGCGUAAAGCGUGCGUAGGCUGUUUCGUAAGUCGUGUGUGAAAGGCGCGGGCUCAACCCGCGGACGGCACAUGAUACUGCGAGACUAGAGUAAUGGAGGGGGAACCGGAAUUCUCGGUGUAGCAGUGAAAUGCGUAGAUAUCGAGAGGAACACUCGUGGCGAAGGCGGGUUCCUGGACAUUAACUGACGCUGAGGCACGAAGGCCAGGGGAGCGAAAGGGAUUAGAUACCCCUGUAGUCCUGGCAGUAAACGGUGCACGCUUGGUGUGCGGGGAAUCGACCCCCUGCGUGCCGGAGCUAACGCGUUAA
rnacentral:rRNA from 1 species